UACAGAGGUCUCAAGCGUUGUUCGGAUUCAUUGGGCGUAAAGGGUGCGUAGGCGGCGCGGUAAGUCGGGUGUGAAAUCUUGGAGCUUAACUCCGAGACUGCAUUCGAUACUGCCGUGCUUGAGGACUGGAGAGGAGACUGGAAUUUACGGUGUAGCGGUGAAAUGCGUAGAUAUCGUAAGGAAGACCAGUGGCGAAGGCGGGUCUCUGGACAGUUCCUGACGCUGAGGCACGAAGGCCAGGGGAGCAAACGGG
rnacentral:rRNA from 1 species